CCUACGGGUGGCAGCAGUGGGGAAUAUUGCACAAUGGGGGAAACCCUGAUGCAGCAACGCCGCGUGAAGGAAGACGGUUUUCGGAUUGUAAACUUCUAUCAAUAGGGAAGAAAGAAAUGACGGUACCUAAAUAAGAAGCCCCGGCUAACUACGUGCCAGCAGCCGCGGUAAUACGUAGGGGGCAAGCGUUAUCCGGAAUUACUGGGUGUAAAGGGAGAGUAGGCGGUAUGUCAAGUCAAGGGUGAAAUCCCCGCGCUCAACGUGGGAACUGCCUUUGAAACUGGCAAACUGGAGUGUGUGAGAGGAUAGUGGAAUUCCAGGUGUAGGAGUGAAAUCCGUAGAUAUCUGGAGGAACAUCAGUGGCGAAGGCGACUAUCUGGCACAUAACUGACGCUGAGGAGCGAAAGCGUGGGUAGCAAACAGGAUUAGAUACCCUUGUAGUC
rnacentral:rRNA from 1 species